GUAUGGGGAUCUGCCCGAUAGAGGGGAAUAACUACUGGAAACGGUGGCUAAUACCGCAUAAUGUCUACGGACCAAAGCAGGGGCUCUUCGGACCUUGCACUAUCGGAUGAACCCAUAUGGGAUUAGCUAGUAGGUGGGGUAAUGGCUCACCUAGGCGACGAUCUCUAGCUGGUCUGAGAGGAUGAUCAGCCACACUGGGACUGAGACACGGCCCAG
rnacentral:rRNA from 1 species